rnacentral:rRNA from 1 species
CAGUAGGGAAUCUUCCACAAUGGGCGCAAGCCUGAUGGAGCAACACCGCGUGAGUGAAGAAGGGUUUCGGCUCGUAAAGCUCUGUUGUUGGAGAAGAACGUGCGUGAGAGUAACUGUUCACGCAGUGACGGUAUCCAACCAGAAAGUCACGGCUAACUACGUGCCAGCAGCCGCGGUAAUACGUAGGUGGCAAGCGUUAUCCGGAUUUAUUGGGCGUAAAGCGAGCGCAGGCGGUUGCUUAGGUCUGAUGUGAAAGCCUUCGGCUUAACCGAAGAAGUGCAUCGGAAACCGGGCGACUUGAGUGCAGAAGAGGACAGUGGAACUCCAUGUGUAGCGGUGGAAUGCGUAGAUAUAUGGAAGAACACCAGUGGCGAAGGCGGCUGUCUGGUCUGCAACUGACGCUGAGGCUCGAAAGCAUGGGUAGCGAACAGGAUUAGAUACCCUGGUAGUCCAUGCCGUAAACGAUGAGUGCUAGGUGUUGGAGGGUUUCCGCCCUUCA